GGAAGUAAAAUCGUAACAAGGUUUCCGUAGGUGAACCUGCGGAAGGAUCAUUAAAGAAUUUAAAGAGUGCACUUCAUUGUGGCUCGACAUUUUCUACCAUUCACCCUAGUGCACUGUAAUACCUUUUUUUAUUAGACUCUACAAAGUUAUUGAAUGUAACACUUUUUUAUAAAGAAAUAAAACUUUUAACAACGGAUCUCUUGGCUCUC
rnacentral:misc_RNA from 1 species